rnacentral:rRNA from 1 species
CCUACGGGUGGCAGCAGUGAGGAAUAUUGGUCAAUGGCCGAGAGGCUGAACCAGCCAAGUCGCGUGAGGGAAGACUGUCCUAUGGAUUGUAAACCUCUUUUGUCGGGGAGCAAAGUCCCCCACGUGUAGGGGAUGGAGAGUACCUGGAGAAAAAGCAUCGGCUAACUCCGUGCCAGCAGCCGCGGUAAUACGGAGGAUGCGAGCGUUAUCCGGAUUUAUUGGGUUUAAGGGGUGCGUAGGCGGUUGAUUACGUCAGCGGUAAAAUUCUGGAGCUCAAACCCAUCGAGCCGUUGAAACUGGUGUUCUAGAGUGGGCGAGAAGUAUGCGGAAUGCGUGGUGUAGCGGUGAAAUGCAUAGAUAUCACGCAGAACUCCGAUUGCGAAGGCAGCAUACCGGCGCCCGACUGACGCUCAGGCACGAAAGCGUGGGUAUCGAACAGGAUUAGAUACCCGGGUAGUC